CCGUCUCGCUCGCGCAUUGACUGAUGCAUUAAUGCAGCCGGCAUUACAGAUUUGCCAGCUGGCAAGUGAGGCAGUGAGCAACUACGCAGUUAAAGUGAGUUAGCUCACUCACCCCAGCACCCUCACAGCUUUACACUCUAUGCUUCCGGCUGGUAUGAUGUGUGAGCUGGUGACAGGAUCACACUGUCACACAGGAUGCACCAUAUGACCAAGAUUGAGAUUUGGAGCUGGGUAUCCGGGGAUGAUUUCGAGAUUCGCAGCCUAUCAGCUUGCUGGUGUAGUAGCGGCCCAGCCAGUCAUCGACGGGCAGUUAGUCCGAGUGGUCGAUCAGCCACACUGGCAGGGAGACACAUCCCAGACUUCUACGGGAGGCAGCAGUUGGGAAUCAGAGCAAUGGGCGAAAGCCUGACGCAGCAACGCCGCGUGGGGGAUGAUGGCCUUCGGGUUGUAAACCCCUUUCAGCAGGGACGAAAUCGACGGUACUUGCAGAAGACAGUCCGCCUAGACACGUGCCAGCAGCCGCAUAACAUGUAGGGGGGAGCGUUGUCCGGAAUUAUUGGGCGUAAAGCCAGUAAAGGCGGACAAGUAAGUCGGAUUGAAAAUUACAGGGCUCAACCCGGAGAAGCCAUCCGAUACUUCUUUGGGAGGAGUCCGGUAGGGGAGCAUGCAAUUCAUGUUUCAUCGGUGAAAGGGGCAGAUAUCAGGAGGAACACCAGCCCGAAGGCGGUGCUCUGGGCCGGUUUCGCCCAGAGGACAAAAAGCGUGGGUAGCGAACAGGAUUAGAUACCCUGGUAGUCCACGCCGUAAACGUUGGGCUCUUGGUGUGGGACCAGUUAACGGUUGCCGCCCUGUAGGAAGGCAUUAAGUGCCCAACCUGGGGAGUCCGGA
rnacentral:rRNA from 1 species